GACUCUCGGCAACGGAUAUCUCGGCUCUUGCAUCGAUGAAGAACGUAGCAAAAUGCGAUACUUGGUGUGAAUUGCAGAAUCCCGUGAACCAUCAAGUAUUUGAACGCAAGUUGCGCCCCAAUCCUUCUGGCCGAGGGCACGUCUGCUUGGGUGUCA
rnacentral:rRNA from 1 species